rnacentral:lncRNA from 1 species
CUCAUUGUUGUCCAACAACAUGAUAGAUAAGACAGGAUUCUCGUACCACUCAGGAGCGGUACAUGAUCUUGUCGACCUGCGAGGUCCGAUAGUAACUUGAUCCGAAGCUUCAUGAUCAUCAUCAUUAGCUUCGUCCUCAACCGGUGUUGCCUCGACAGAGAUUUCCCUCUGCCCUGCGCCACCAUCUAGAGGGAGGAGAGGUUCGACAACCUCAUCAAGUUCUAUCUUCCUCCCACUCAAUUCUUUCGAGAGAAACUCUUUCUCAAGAAAAGCUCCGUUC